rnacentral:snRNA from 1 species
CAACAGAAGAUUUGCAUGGCACAAGGAUGACACACAAAUUCGUGAAGAGUUCCAUUUUUUU